rnacentral:misc_RNA from 1 species
AAAAAACUCUUCACUGGCCAGUUUAUUGAAGGAAUGGUCAUCAUUUUGGGGCAAAUGAAGAGAUGUUUGAAAUUUAGAGAGAGAAGGGAGUAUUUCAAAGCCGUGACAUACAAUUUGAGCAUUCGCGUUAGGGUUUUGGCGGAGAAUCGCAUUCGAUAAGAGCAAGCGGUUCUAAUUAGGGUUUUGGACGCCAUUGUUUUGGAGAAAUGAUCGGUUUUCCUCAACUAAAAACCCUAGCGAAGAGAGUAGGAAUGUGAACGGGGCAAGUCGGGGGUGGGAUUGCUCCUCCAUUCUAGACUCAUAGUGGUUCGGGGUGGCAUUGUCCGCCGGGAAGCGAGUCGGAGCCGGUUCCC